rnacentral:rRNA from 1 species
AGAGUUUGAUCCUGGCUCAGAUUGAACGCUGGCGGAAUGCUUUACACAUGCAAGUCGAACGGCAGCACGGGAGCUUGCUCCUGGUGGCGAGUGGCGAACGGGUGAGUAAUACAUAGGAACAUACCCAGUAAUGGGGGAUAACGCCGAGAAAUCGGUGCUAAUACCGCAUACGCCCUACGGGGGAAAGCGGGGGAUCUUCGGACCUCGCGUUAUUGGAUUGGCCUAUGUCUGAUUAGCUAGUUGGUGAGGUAAAGGCUCACCAAGGCGACGAUCAGUAGCUGGUCUGAGAGGAUGAUCAGCCACACUGGAACUGAGACACGGUCCAGACUCCUACGGGAGGCAGCAGUGGGGAAUUUUGGACAAUGGGCGAAAGCCUGAUCCAGCCAUUCCGCGUGAGUGAAGAAGGCC